CUCUCUGGAUCAUGAAGCCAAUUAGAGCUGCUCUCUGGAUCCGCUAUAAGGUCAUGCGUUUUUUUGGCCAAAUUCUUGGAUAUUUAGGGUGUUCUAGGGUUUCUGCGAUUUAGGGUGUUCUACGGUUUCUUUUGGAAAUCUUGUUUCAAUGUGACCAAAUUUGAUGUUCUCUCCCGUUUAGUUCGUGAGUUUAUUUCUUUUUCUCCUAAAACGGAUGAUUCGUGCUUGUAGAUUUACGGUGUUCUAGGGUUUUACGAUAUACCACGCGAAACUAUUAGCUCCAAACCGGCUUCCUUUUCUUCUUGUUAAUUACCUCUAUAUUCUUGUUUCAAUUUGACCAAAUUUUUAUGUUUUCUCACGUUUAGUUUGUGAAUUCGUAUUUUUUUGUCCUAAAAUGGUCGUAGUUUUAAUGAGUAAAUGAUCUCUUCAAGUGAAUUUAUAGAACUUCUCUAUUUCGACUUUCAAAAAGAAGAGGUUUUCUUUCCCUCCUUGGAGAAAACAAGAUUUUAAAGCUCUUUAAUCCUAUAAAUAUUGCCAUUUCUUUAUGCUGUAAUAUUCACAAUUCCUGAACUGACUCUUUUUAGAUUUGGAAUCUAGUUUUGGUCCAGAAUCAAUUGGUGGUUUAUAUCUCCUGCAAGGAGAUGCUUACUGUUAUUUGGUUGGGUAUGCAAUGGAUUAGCAUGGGCGUUCAGACAAUGACAUGGAGAUAGCUUCCAGGAAUGAGUCAUGGCGAUGCUGGAGAUGGCCGGGAGCCUGUUAUAGAGAAUGGUGGGACCACUGAUGCAACAAGAUGUAUGAUGCAGGUACCUUCGGUUUUAUUAUAACCAAAGAUAGCAAAGUGAAGCAUGUCAGAAUUUCAUUCACUGAAACCAAUCACAAGGACAAAUUACGUCGCUGGUAUCCAACUCAGAUACUGUGUCGACAGAUUUCUACAUAUUAAGUGACUUAUACUUGAACGCGACCAUGAGGUUACUCCAGGAAUAGACAUAACUAUCCUUCCAAGAGAGGAAAGCAUUUUCAUGAGAAUAUUGGUUUAGCAGGGAUAUUAAUGGAUGAGUCAAUUUCAUGAAGGAUGAUUUGGUAGGUUAUGCAAGUGUGGAACUGGGCAGAGGAAAUAUGAUUUGUAUCUUGAAAACAGGAGAUAAUGACAUUAUACAGCAACUAUUCAAUAGCACUCAAAGCAAGAACACCUACCUUUUUUCAUUUCAUGGACCUGGACCAAGGACAGCUGAUGAAUGUGUUUUGUGCUGAUGACAGGUGAAGGACUGAAUAUCAGUAUUUUGGUGAUGUUGUUCUAGUAGAUACUACUUACUUGAUUGGUUGGUAUGGCUUUCUAUUUGUUGACUUCAUUGGGGGUAAACCAUCAUGGU